rnacentral:rRNA from 1 species
AGUGAAGCGGCAACAGCUCAAAUUUGAAAUCUGGCCCCAGCGGUCCGAGUUGUAAUUUGCAGAGGAUGCUUUUGGUGCGGUGCCUUCCGAGUUCCCUGGAACGGGACGCCAGAGAGGGUGAGAGCCCCGUACGGUUGGACACCUACCCUAUAUAUAGCUCCUUCGACGAGUCGAGUAGUUUGGGAAUGCUGCUCUAAAUGGGAGGUAAAUUUCUUCUAAAGCUAAAUACCGGCCAGAGACCGAUAGCGCACAAGUAGAGUGAUCGAAAGAUGAAAAGCACUUUGAAAAGAGGGUUAAAUAGCACGUGAAAUUGUUGAAAGGGAAGCGUUUGCGACCAGACCUUUUCCAGGCGGAACAUCCGGUGUUCUCACCGGUGCACUUCGCCUGGUUUAGGCCAGCAUCGGUUUCCUUAGGGGGACAAAGGCCUGGGGAACGUAGCUCUUUAGGGAGUGUUAUAGCCCCUAGCGUAAUACCCCUCGGGGGACCGAGGACCGCGCUUCGGCAAGGAUGCUGGCGUAAUGGUCGUCAACGACCCGUCUUGAAACACGGACCAAGGAGUCGAACAUUUGUGCGAGUGUUUGGGUGUCAAACCCUCACGCGUAAUGAAAGUGAACGGAGGUGAGAGCCCCUAGGGGUACAUCAUCGACCGAUCCUGAUGUCUUCGGAUGGAUUUGAGUAAGAGCAUAACUGUUCGGACCCGAAAGAUGGUGAACUAUGCGUGGAUAGGGUGAAGCCAGAGGAAACUCUGGUGGAGGCUCGCAGCGGUUCUGACGUGCAAAUCGAUCGUCAAAUCUGCGCAUGGGGGCGAAAGACUUAUCGAACCAUUAAACCAGCGGUAAAUUUUAAUUACUAGGUGGUUAAGAGGACCCCCGCGAGGGGGGGCCUAGGUCAUCGGGCCAGCUUACCCUGUAGCUACCCUGUAGCUACCCUGUGAGA